UGCCACCGUGCUGGUGAGCAGAGAUAUGCCGGGAAUAGAGGAAUAGGGAUCAUAUGCAGCAGAGGAGAUUCGUUUAUCUUGGAUAGACAAAACACAGCU